UGUCCUCUAAGGACUGGCCACUGAGCCAGCACUUGGCUGGAGACAGAGCGCUUUCUUUGUUUGCAGCCUGCCUGACGAUUUAUUUCUGAGACUCAAGAGAGGCUCAGCCAUUUUGGCCUGGCUGCUCUGGGAAAAGCCCCUCCCACUCCCUAGGGGCCCACACACCUCUGAAGGGCCACUUUGGAGGGUCUGAGGAUGCUCUCAUGAAGACCUGAGAGGGCAGGCUCAACCCUUCGCAUGGGAAGUGCUCCAGAGAGAAAGAGAGGGCUUGCAAUACAGGAUAGUUCCCACUCGCCGCCUUUGUUUUGGAAUUUGGAACUUGAGGGUUCAUGUCUAUUUCGGGAGGAUAUUAGCUCAGAGAGUCAGGAGUUCCUUGUCUGGAGACACGAAGCCAAGAGAAGAACAGGACAUUGGUGGGAGCCUCCCCCAACCCACCGAGGGAUGUACAGGUGGUAAACAGGACCCCAAAAGGAAACAGCACCUUGACAAACAGGGACGCCAAGGACUCAGACCCCCCUCCACCUUCCAGCUCUUAAGGUCAGACCAUGCUGGGAUCAAUACUGAAAGACUUCAACAGGAUGACGCUUCCACAGAGUCGAUGCCCGCACCGUGCCCUCCUCAAAUAUGGCCUAGGAGCAGCCCUGGAGACAGCCCCUCACUCUCCAGGGGAUGGCUUGACCAACAUUUCUCGGCACUGAGGGACUAUGGGCGUGCAGUACCGCGCCUGGCCACUAAUGGAAUUUCAAAGCUGCGAUGCAUGUGAACAACAUGGAAGAGAUUUCUUCAACAACCAUAAAGUGACACUAAAACCAUCUGUGGUUUCUAUUGGCUGCAGGGUCACACAGGUAUGGCUCACAUGUCCGUGGUUUGUGACCUUUAUUCCAAAUGGAAAGCAAAGAAUAUAAAAAAGCUAUUCUCAUGCAAGUUUACAGAGCCCUGAGUUCCCUCUGCACUGUGGCCUGUGAGCAGGAGUCCCUGGGCUGGACAUACAAACGGCCACUUUGGAAGCUAGAGGGGUCCCUUCUGCAGAGUUUGCAAGGAGGCUCAGUCCCUGGUGACCUUGCGAAGCUCCAGGGAACAGGUGUGAAGGAGGGGAGAGAGGGCACUUUCUUGUCCUCAUGUGUGCCUGACCUAUAGCACCAGUUUUAAAGUAUUUGAUAAUACUUUAAUAAUAUCUUACAUUUAAAAAUGACUGUGUUUCUCAAGGCUUAUCUAUUGUGAUCCUUUAGAGAUUUAUCAAGGUCACACGGCUAGUGAACGUUGAUGUCAACUCAGAUCUUGGGCUCUUUAUCCAGCAUCAAAAAGUGGAAGAGAUGAGGCUGAGAAGCAAAAGUAAGGAGAGACCAUGGGGAACCCUGAGUCCUAGACAGAGGCACGAAGACAAAGUCCUCGUGGGGCAGUGGGGAGCCAAGGAAGGUUCUUGAGCAGGAGAAUGAUUUGGAAGCCUUGGCAAAAUUAAUCUGGUGAUGGUGUGUGGUGUGGGCUAUAUUGGGAGAGAGGGGAUGGGGACUGAGAGGCAUCACUUGGUGGCUGCAGUGAUUCAGGAAUGAAUAAUGACCCACGCCUGGCCAAUCAUCUUCUCCACUACGGUGAUUGGUUCAGAGAAGAGCAUGUGACUCAAAGUGGGCCAAUCAGAAUGAAUCCUGGGAAUUUUGCAGCUGACAGCCCUGUGGUCCCUUACAAAAAAACAAAAACAAAAACAAAAACAAAAAAACCAUUUAUCUGUCUAAAAAUAAAGCUAGAAUAGGGGCAAAUAGUGGUGGUGGCAGUGAAGAGAGUCAUUGUGAGUCCUAAUGAUAUCCUCUGAGUCCCUGGAUCCAGCCAUGCCUGAAAUUGCCAUGAACUUUUCUCUUAUGUGACCUAAGAAGGUUUUCUGCCCCAGAUAAUAUGUAUUUAUGUUAAGCUUGCUUGGCAGUGAGAUUCUGUUGCUGGCUAUCCGAAACAGUCCUGCCCAAUACACCAGAAGGGCACCUAGGUCAAAGGGCAGCAUUCUUUAGCCCAUAAACCAAAUUUGCCUUAUUUAUGCGUUUUUGUUUUGUUUGGUGUCAGGGAUAGAACUCAAGCCCUUGCACAUGCUCAGCAACUGCUUUACCACUAAGCCAUGCCCCCCCCCCCACCAGCCCUGGUCUACUACCUCUUUGUUUUAAAUAAAGUUUUAUUGGAACACAGGCAUGCUUACAUAUUAUCUUUGAUUGUUUUUGCACUAGGAGUUAGAGUUGAGCAGUUGUGACGGAAACAACGUGGCCCUCAGAACCUAAAUAUUUACUAUGUGGACUUUCACAAACAAGAUCUUCCAGAUUCAUCUUCUGGAUUAAUCUCUUCUUACCUU